GGAGACAAUGGCGGGGCCGGGGUAGCGGAGGCUGCAUCAGCUCAAAGCUUUUGUGAGUAACGGGGAGGCCAAACUUCAGUUUCCUCCGUGUGGUCUCUGACCACCAGGGCAACUUAAACUGCAGAUUCCCGGGCUCCACUCCAGCCCUGUGGAACUAGAGUAUCUCAAGGUGGGACCCGAGGACUGGCAUUUUAACGGACACCGCAAGUGAGUUCCUAUUCACUCUCAAGCUUAAGAACAACUGAACUAGAUGUAGCAGAAACAAAGAAAAAGUGGUCAAGUUUUCAAUUUCUCCAGGAGGCAGAAGCUUAAAUAUUAGCUUUCUUAUUUUCUUUUGGGUCACAGUGAUUUGGGAAGAUGGAAAAUGCUUGCCUUCAAGUUGGCUCAUGGGGCUGAAAAGAAUCAACUCUGAAAAUUAACAUGGUGAGGACAGUUGAGUUGCCUUGGAGGUGUGCUCAGUGACAGGCCCAAUUCUGCGCUUGGGGAAGCCAUUCUGUCCUGAGAAAAGAGGCAGCAUGGGAUGCCACCCUCAGGUGUGUGUGUUCCUUUAAGGUUCUCAUGAAAUACUGGGAAGAAUAUUAAUUGGACCCUACUCCUUGAUAAGCCAGUUCUUAUCCCGGAACAAGUGAAAUGGAAACAGGAAGCUGAACACAGUGACCUUCCAGAGGACACCAGCUCAGUGCGAGAACGCGCCCAAGGUUCCGCAGCAGGAAAAGGAGGCCUCGAUCGGGCCAGUCUGCCUGGUGUUCGUUUGUUUUCUUUUUGGCUGUGCUGCGGAGCAUAUGGGAUCUUAGUUCCCCGACCAGGGAUCGGACCUGUGCCCCCUUCACUGGAAGCGCGGAGUCUUAACCACUGGACUGCCAGGGGCUGCAUGUGGCCAUGGCAAGAGGAAGACAGGAGACAGAAGGAUCCAGGUUGGAAGCCGGUCGGCUCUUUCUUCACCCCCAGCAAGCCUGCUUUUCACUCCACUCAGCUGUGCCCUCAGGCCUGGGCCCAGCUGUUUCUCCGUUCAGUUUCCCGGGUGCCCAGGGCAUGACCCAAACCCUAGGGACCCCACAUGGGGAACUCACUUAUGCGAGGAGGUGGCAUAGUGUAGUGGUUAAUUCCGGAAGGACAGUGUGGGUUCAGAUCCCAGCUCUAUCCCUCAGUAGCUGUAUGACCCCAUGUCAGUGCCUGUCUAUGUGCCUCACUUUCUUCCUUUAAAAAAUGGGAAGGAUAAUGGUUCCCACCUUCUGGGGUUGUUCCAGUUAAUGUCAUUAAUGGAUUAAACGAGUUAAGACCAUAAGACACAGGGUCAGGUUUAUCAUAGGCACUCCCUUAUGUUGAUUAUAUCAUAAUUAAUUGUGAUUAAUUACAGGUGGGCCACCAUGACCUUCUUCAUUGCUCAAUAAGAUGAUGUACUUGCCAGGUGUUGCAAGGGUCCCAGGCAGGUUCUCUGAAUUCUUAUUCCUUCUUUUCUCCUUGGUGAAGGCCCUUUCCUCUCACUGUUGGUUGUCAGAGAUUCAGCCUUAAUUAAUAAAUCUGUAGAAAUGCAGUUAGGAGGGGAGACACCCUG